GAGACACCCUUCUGGGGCAAGACUUGCUUCAGUGGGGCUUUGGUGCUCACUGAGUCUGCCUCCUGAGUGUGUCCUU
rfam:Myotis lucifugus cont2.5464, whole genome shotgun sequence.